UGCAAUGUACACUAAAACAAAUUUGAACUUUAUGUCGGUUCAAUCAUGAUUAAACUGUUACCAUGCAGUGCACCUCUAUGUUCUCCUUUGUUUGCACCCCAUUCUACCUAUUCAGUAUUCAGUACUAUUAGCUUGCAGACUCACACUACUGUGUAAGUGGCCGUAUCUGACCGAGUCUCCUGUCUCUUGCUUUCUGUGGAUACGUGCUGGUGUAUGCAAAUUCUGGCGGCUGUCUCGAGCUUGGAUGUGCGCGCAUGUAUGUCCCCAGGUUGAAGCUGACGCCAAUACCUGCAGUCAGUAACGGAAUUGUGCUUCAAUGUGGCUCCUCACCCGGCAGCAACUAUCGGAUUCUCACAAGGGAUCUAGCCAACGGCGCAGAAUGUGUGAACAGCAGCAGCAGCAGCAGCAGCAGCAGCAGGAGGAGGAGGAGGAGAAUCCAGGAGAAGAGG